ACGCUCGACACCUACAGGAGGCAGCAGUGGGGAAUAUUGCACAAUGGGGGAAACCCUGAUGCAGCGACGCCGCGUGAAGGAAGAAGUAUUUCGGUAUGUAAACUUCUAUCAGCAGGGAAGAAAAUGACGGUACCUGACUAAGAAGCCCCGGCUAACUACGUGCCAGCAGCCGCGGUAAUCUGAGCGGGCUGGCAAGGC
rnacentral:rRNA from 1 species